GAGUUUGAUCGUGGCUCAGGAUGAACGCUGGCGGCGUGCCUAAUACAUGCAAGUCGAGCGAACAGACGAGGAGCUUGCUCCUCUGACGUUAGCGGCGGACGGGUGAGUAACACGUGGAUAACCUACCUAUAAGACUGGGAUAACUUCGGGAAACCGGAGCUAAUACCGGAUAAUAUAUUGAACCGCAUGGUUCAAUAGUGGAAGACGGUUUUGCUGUCACUUAUAGAUGGAUCCGCGCCGCAUUAGCUAGUUGGUAAAGUAACGGCUUACCAAGGCAACGAUGGCGUAGCCGACCUGAGAGGGUGAUCGGCCACACUGGAACUGAGACACGGUCCAGACUCCUACGGGAGGCAGCAGUAGGGAAUCUUCCGCAAUGGGCGAAAAGCCUGACGGAGCAACGCCGCGUGAGUGAUGAAGGUCUUCGGAUCGUAAAACUCUGUUAUUAGGGAAGAACAAAUGUGUAAGUAACUAUGCACGUCUUGACGGUACCUAAUCAGAAAGCCAACGGCUAACUACGUGCCAGCCC
rnacentral:rRNA from 1 species